ACACUCCUGCGGGAGGCAGCAGUGGGGAAUAUUGGACAAUGGGCGCAAGCCUGAUCCAGCCAUGCCGCGUGAGUGAUGAAGGCCCUAGGGUUGUAAAGCUCUUUCACCGGUGAAGAUAAUGACGGUAACCGGAGAAGAAGCCACGGCUAACUUCGUGCCAGCAGCCGCGGUAAUACGAAGGGGGCUAGCGUUGUUCGGAUUUACUGGGCGUAAAGCGCACGUAGGCGGACUAUUAAGUCAGGGGUGAAAUCCCGGGGCUCAACCCCGGAACUGCCUGUGAUACUGGUAGUCUUGAGUUCGAGAGAGGUGAGUGGAAUUCCGAGUGUAGAGGUGAAAUUCGUAGAUAGUCGGAGGAACACCAGUGGCGAAGGCGGCUCACUGGCUCGAUACUGACGCUGAGGUGCGAAAGCGUGGGGAGCAAACAGGAUUAGAUACCCGUGUAGUCCCAU
rnacentral:rRNA from 1 species